rnacentral:rRNA from 1 species
GUCUAGGGCCAUACCACCCUGAGCACGCCUAAUCUCCUCUGAUCUUGGAAGAAACUAAUAAUAGGGCAGGGGUAAAUAGCAUAAUGAUUAUGCAAAGAGACUCUCAUGUCUGAGGCU